AUUGAACGCUGGCGGCAGGCCUAACACAUGCAAGUCGAACGGUAACAGGAAGCAGCUUGCUGCUUUGCUGACGAGUGGCGGACGGGUGAGUAAUGUCUGGGAAACUGCCUGAUGGAGGGGGAUAACUACUGGAAACGGUAGCUAAUACCGCAUAACGUCGCAAGACCAAAGAGGGGGACCUUAGGGCCUCUUGCCAUCGGAUGUGUCCAGAUGGGAUUAGCUAGUAGGUGGGGUAACGGCUCACCUAGGCGACGAUCCCUAGCUGGUCUGAGAGGAUGACCAGCCACACUGGAACUGAGACACGGUCCAGACUCCUACGGGAGGCAGCAGUGGGGAAUAUUGCACAAUGGGCGCAAGCCUGAUGCAGCCAUGCCGCGUGUAUGAAGAAGGCCUUCGGGUUGUAAAGUACUUUCAGCGGGGAGGAAGGGAGUAAAGUUAAUACCUUUGCUCAUUGACGUUACCCGCAGAAGAAGCACCGGCUAACUCCGUG
rnacentral:rRNA from 1 species